rnacentral:rRNA from 1 species
GACGAACGCUGGCGGCGGGCUUAACACAUGCAAGUCGAACGGAAAGGCCCUGCUUUUGUGGGGUUCUCGAGUGGCGAACGGGUGAGGAACACGUGAGUAACCUGCCCUUGACUUUGGGAGAACUUCAGGAAACUGGGGCUAAUACCGGAUAGGAGCUCAUGCUGCAGGGAGGGGGGUGGAAAGUUUCGGCGGUUGGGGAUGGAUUCGCGGCUUAUGAGCUUGGUGGUGGGGUAGUGGCUUGCCGAGGCUGUGACGGGUAGGCGGCCUGAGAGGGUGACCGGCCACAUUGGGACUGAGAUACGGCCCAGACUCCUACGGGAGGCAGCGGUGGCGAAUAUUGCACAAUGGGCGCAAGCCUGAUGCAGCAACGCCGCGUGCGUGAUGACGGCCUUCGGGUUGUAAACCGCUUUAGCCUAUGACGACGCGUUAGUGACGGUAAUGGGUAAAGAAGCACCGGCUAACUACGUG